rnacentral:rRNA from 1 species
GUGAGGAAUUUUCCGCAAUGGGCGAAAGUCUGACGGAGCAAUGCCGCGUGAAGGAUGAAGGCCUAUGGGUUGUAAACUUCUUUUCUUAGAGAAGAAUAUUGACGGUAUCUGAGGAAUAAGCAUCGGCUAACUCUGUGCCAGCAGCCGCGGUAAGACAGAGGAUGCAAGCGUUAUCCGGAAUGAUUGGGCGUAAAGCGUCUGUAGGUGGCUUCAAAAGUCUCCUGUCAAAGAUCAGGGCUUAACCCUGGGCCGGCAGGAGAAACUCUGAGGCUAUAGUUUGGUAGGGGCAGAGGGAAUUCCCGGUGGAGCGGUGAAAUGCGUAGAGAUCGGGAGGAACACCAAAGGCGAAAGCACUCUGCUGGGCCACAACUGACACUGAGAGACGAAAGCGAGGGGAGCAAAAGGGAUUAGAAACCCGUGUAGUCC